rnacentral:lncRNA from 1 species
AGUUGAUUUCCUGUUGGUAUCUUUCCUCUCAGAUUGUUGUAGGACAGGUUCAAGCGACUGAGUGACAUGAGAGCCGAUAAGCUUGGAGGUAUUUCACCAGACAAAUCAUUGUGUGAUAGGUCGAGUGACUCCACUUGAAUUAAGGCACCAACAUUGUCAGGGAUUUUUCCAUCGAAUUUGUUCCAUGAUAGGUUCAGGUUCUUCAGUUCCACAAGAUUGCCGAUUUCUUCAGGAAUCUCUCCAGUAAGACUAUUACAAGAUAAAUCAAGAUUGAACAUGUAUAUGAUCUCUCGUGUAUAAAAUCUCUCUUGACCUUUCGUGAGUAUCGUGAAAUUCUCAGUAUAGUCAAUUUCUUGAUAUGCAAUACUUCCUCUUUGAGUAGCUAAUGCAUUCUCAAGAUCAAAAACGUUAUUGCUUGUUCGUGUCAUGCCUGUCCAAUUAACAAUAGAUGUCGGUAUGAUCCCUGAUAUAUUAUUGUAGGCAAGGUCCAAAUUCUGAAGAUCAACAAGCUUCGUAAGCUCGACAGGAAUGUGACCACGAAACAUAUUGGAUCUCAGUCCUAAGAAAGACAAAGAUGACAGCUUCUCCCCAAUCCAUGGUGGUAAAGCCCCAGAAAAUUGAUUGUGUCCGAGAUCAAGAAAGAUGAGUUGUGGGCAUUUUCGCAAAAGCAAAGGAAAAUCACCCGAGAGGUUGUUGUCUCUUAAGCUUAGAUUAACAAUGCUCAGAUCUGGCAUAUUUGUGCUGGACUUGUCGACUAGGCAAUCAGUAAUUGAUCCAUUGAGGUUAUUUCUUGAUAGAUUUAACUUCCGCAAUAAUCGCAACUUGCACAAAGAAGAUGGAAUGGCCCCAGAGAUCAUGUUGUCAUAUAGAAAAAGUGUUUCAAGCCCUGGAGCUCCAAAGUCUAAUGGUAGUGGCCCAACUAGAUUGUUCCAACUGAGAUCCAGGUCGGUUAGAUUGAUGGGAAGUUUAGGUAUUGGACCACCAAGCUGGUUAGAACUGAAAUCCAUUACCUUUGCUCUCAUAAAUUCCAUUGUUGAUGGGAGCACUCCUGUAAUUUGAUUAUUUCGAAUAUUCAGAUACUCUAGUGAGGAAGUUGCUAUCCAAAACCAACCUGGUACCAUGUCAUUUAUGCUUGCGUAUGAUAUAUCAAGACUCACCACGGGUGUUUGCCAUUUAAGCCACAUUGGGAAUUUAGGCCCUAGCUGACAGGACUGAAGUUCAAUCCAAUUUAGGCUGAAAGGAGGAACCCAAGUUGGACUCACUGUGAUGGCAAUGGAGUUGUCUGACAAUAUCAAUUUCUCUAACAUAGCUAGACGUGAUAAAUGGCCUUCAUGCAUGACACCGUCCAGGUUAUUAGAGCUAAGGUCCAACAUCGUUAGCUGUUUGAGAUCUCCUAUCCACACCGGGACAUGACCAGUGAGUUUGUUCUCAGCAAGAACCAGCCAUCUCAAGUUUCUCAAGGGCUCUACUAUUGUAGUCGGCAGGCUUCCAGUCAGAUUGCUAUCCAGUAGAACCAAGUCUUUUAGUUUAUUCUGUGAACAGUUUGGUAAUCGAUGGAAUAACUCUGCUAUACUCCCGUUUAUAUUGUUCAGAGAAAAAUCUAAUGUAUCCAAAUUACAUAGGUUCUUUAAGUUGGAUGGUAUCAUGCCCACAAGGUUGUUAGCUUGUAACCGAAGCUCCACAAUCGAGGUCAUAUUACCUAUCUCGUCCGGAAACGGGCCAUAGAAACCACUAGACGAGAUAUAUAGAUUUUUUAGGCCAGUUAGAUCCCAAAACCAGUUAGGGAUGCUACGCUUAUGGAAGUUGUUGCCCGCAAGGUCGAGUGUUUCAAGAGAUGUCAAAUUUGAGAACUGAAUAGAAUCAGGGCUACUUCUAAGUUGGCAAUUGACAAGACGGAGAACUUUCAGAGUUGGAAGCAUGUUCACAACCGGAAGCCAGUGAACAAUUGCACUGAGGUUCACCCCAGUCAUAUCCAGGUGCUCAACCGAAGUUAACUGGGAUAACCAGGUGAUAUCAGUGGAAUAUGUGUCUGAGUAGGAGUCAAGAUUUAGGUACCGUAAGUUGGAGAGAUUACCCAGCUGCGGUGGUAUCCUUCCAAUGAACUGUGAGCUUGAUAGGUCGAGAUAUCUCAGCUGAUGGAGAGAACCCAUGAACUCCGGUAUUUGCAUCUCAUCAAACCCGUUGUAGCUGAGGUCGAGAUACCGUAGGUGUUGUAAACGAAGCAACGAGGAGCUUAUGUUACCUGCUAGCACCUCCCUUUUCUCCCCAUAACUUCUUAUGUUGCCUCCUAGCACCUCCACAAAAUCAGGGCCUCGGAGAUCGAGCUUGACAACAUGGCCGGUUCUGUUGCUGCAGUAGACGCCCUUCCACCGGCAGCAGUCGUCACCCUUCCAAGACGAAAGGAGGUUGGCAGGGUCUGAUAGGCCUGCCCUGAAGGCAAGAAGGGCAGACCUCUCACCGGCAACACAGCUGGCGACCGCAUCGUUUGGAUGCAGGGCAGAUAAUGUGUCCUCCGUGGUGCUCUUGGCUUGAGUGAACAAGAGCAAGGCUAUGGCUAUUUGGAUGCAGGAGAAGUGAAGUGUGUCCAUUGGAGAUUUUGCCAUGUGAACAUGUGGUCUUCUUUUCUCCCGAUUCAGGUAUAUAUGUUCUUCUUGAGAGUUGAGAUAGGAGACCAAUGAGGAAUUUCAUGGAAGGCGCUGAGCGCAGUUUUUCCACAACUAGUCGGCUUGAGGGUCCACAUAUAUAGUACUAUCAUAGACUUUGGGUCUUUGGAAUUUAAUUGGAAAUCGCUGGAUGGUACUGGAGCAUCAAUUGACAACGGUGUGAAGCCAAGUGCAGAUUUUCCACAACUACUUGGCUUAAAUUUAAUGGAAGUCGCUAGAUGGUACUGGAGCCAAGUGCAGUUUUUCCACGACUACUUGGCUUGAGGGUCCAGGUAUUACUGUCAUGGACUAUGAAUUAUUGGGAAUGAAAAUUAGAAUAUAUAUGUAAUCCGAAAUGUAAAUAUUCUAAGAAUACUUACAGGACAAGUGGUGAGUUCCGUUGGUAAGAGAGAUCCCACCAUCACCCAUCUAGGGCCAAAAUCAAGAUUGAUCUGAAAGAAACAAAUCCAAAUAUUCGAGACGGAGAAUACUUACAGGACAAGAAGGAAGGCUACAGCUGGGGCAGGGGAAUGUGGAAGGGGGCGACCUUGCGAUCUGGAGGCUGGCGGUGCCGGCGACGACGACGACGGAGACGCCGUCGAGCGGAUCCGCCGGAAGAACUCUCCGUGACACGCCUCCUUCCUGCUUCCCAGCGGCUGCCCCGCCGCCUCGGCUACUCUGCCGGCGCAGGUCGGCGGGCAUGUCGGAGUGAGCAGAUCUACCCGUGCUGUCUCUUUUUGUUUUACAUAGAAAAUGCAUUAAUAUCGAUUACAACUGGCCUUUCUAUUCCAAACACAUCAAAGAUAUACUCCCUCCCUCCGUUCCUAAAUAUAAUUAAUCUUUUAAAAUUUUUGCUAAGAGACCACAUACAAAUCAAAAUGAAUGAAUCUAUAUUUUAAAAUAUGUAUAUAUACAUUCGCAUUUAGUUUUUUAAUAAAAUCUUUAAAAAAACUUAUAUUUAGAAAGGGGGAGUACACAGCUGAAAAAACAGAAGAAAUAAGACUGUCCCAGUCAUCAAUUACUAGCAUCAGCAACACUCUAACGACCCCAAAAACAAUAUCCAAAUUACGAAAAAGUUCUUCAAAACUAUGCCUUGAAUAAGGAAUAUAAUGCAUAAGCAUUGUCGUUGUUUGGUCGAAGAUCUUAGAUUUUCGUCUCAGAAAAGUUUGAAAUCAUUGAAAAACAAUGUCUUCAACAUUCAUCAAGGUUAUUGUCAAGUACAACCAAUAAAGUCAACCUUAGGCUUUUACCCUCAGAAUUGAUACUUGGUACUUGAGAAACACCAAAAAAAGCAGUCCUCGAGUGUUGUCACCCCUGCUUGCCGAGGAAGAUGAUGCAAGUAACCAAACACCUCGCACAUAGUUUUCUCCGCAUUCAAUACAUCCUUUCACCAAAGCUUCAUGACCUCCAUCUAUGCCUUAGAAAUCUUGACUUGGACAUGUCUCAUGACACAAACAAAGCUUCGCGUAGCACCCUCUUGAUGCCGUGCUGGUUGAUAAUAUGAGUGCCCAUGAUUGAAACCUUUCCAAUCUAGAUAUCCAGGGGCAACAUACAAUAAUCCAAUAGAUCUCCGACAUGAAGAUCAAAACUCGUGAGCGGUCAGAUACAAGAAUGCCGACAUCCGAUAGAAAGACGACUUGGCGAAAGAAGAGUGCUAGGGCCAAACCACCACUGUCGUGCUGCUAACUCCACCAGCCGACGACCACGGCGGAGCCGGCCGCCUGUGACACCGCCGCCCUCAUCACGCCUCGCUUGAGCAGCUAGAUCGCCCCGUCUGCUGUCCGACGACUCCGACCGCCUAUCGGUACACCACCUCGACACUUGGCACACCUCGUCAUGCUGUUGUCGUCGACAAGCUCCGGCGUGUGACCACGUUGUUGCGCUUGCCGCCAGCGUUGCAUCCAGGUCCGUUUGCAUCGGCCCAUGCCAAAGGCCCUACGCGAGGAGACGAGACCACCCUGCCGUCGCUGGUGCCGACUGGGCUUGGCUUGGCCGCGCCUGGUGACGAGGGAAGGGAGGGAGGAGGAGGUGGAUCCCCUGGGGCGGCGUCUGGUUUACCUCCGGUGACACAUAUGCAAUAACAUGUGUACUUAGCCACUUAUGCAAGUGAAGGAACCUGUGCUAGAUGUGGGGCAACUCAAAUUAACUGAAGCAAUACAUGUUAAUAAAAUAAACAUGACACUUAGAUCGUCAGCUUACGUGGCUGAAAUGUACCCCAAAAUCCAAUAAACACACACACAGAAGGAUGCACAACAGCACUUGGGCAGAAAUAUAACACGGUCAUUACCAUAGGGGGGGUUACAGUUCGACAAUCCGACAAUGAUCAGGCUCAACCAAAUAAUCCAAGAGCACUGAAGCUUUGAAGUAGUAAUGAAGCGAUCAAUCUAUGUCAUCUGUAAAUGAGAUAAUGGACGUGAGUAUGAGUAUAAAAAACAUCAGAUUUUUUUUUUGAAAAGGAGGAAACGAGCCCCCGGCCUCUGCAUCAAUCGAUGCAUGCAGCCAUAUUAUUAAAAAUCCAAAGUAACAAAAUAGUUCGAGAUAGGCCUGAAGGCUGAAAAAUAAGAUGGAUCUGAAACUAAACAAACUCUUAAGAAACACGCACAUCCGGCGUAACUAAUAGCAGACUACGAUGCCUAUACACCUAGUCUAUUACUAGCACGCCAUCCAAACCGGUUGAAGAUAACACGUGCGACCAUCUCCCACCGGUUGCACCCAGUAGCCAUAACCUCCCUGUUGUCUGCAAGACUGAGUGAUGACCACGUACGGAUCCAGGACGUUGCUCGGAAUAUGACCUGCAAAAAAUUGUUGAAUUUCUUACCAUUAAAUAUUAUGUCGUUUCUGGUAUUCCAUAUAGCCCACAAAAGAGCACAUAUCCCUAUUCUAAUAAGUCUAGAUAGUUUAACGUCCACUCCAUUGAGCCACGUUGUAAACAUUGAAUUGAUGCACGUAGGUGGGAUCACGUUAAAGGCUAUAUGGAUAGUGCGCCAAAGUAGUUUUGCGAGGGGGCAGUCCAAAAACAAGUGUCUGAUAGUUUCAUGUUGAUCACAAUAACAACAAUUGGAUCUACCUCUUCAACUACGCUUAAUUAAAUUAUCUUUGGUUAAUACCACACAUUUUAUAUGUAGAUGGUUCUAUGCAGGAGUAACAAACAAAAUAGAGACCACCUCUUUCCAUGAAGACCUCAGCAGGAGCAAAAAAUGACUUCCAUUUUCUCUCCAUAGUAUUUUUCUAGGUUCUUCACAAGUAUUGUUCUUGAAGAAUCAAACAUCUUCCAGGCCAGAACAAAAUCAGAAUCAGCUUCUAUCACCGGUUUCACCCUCCUUAUCUUUACCGUCUGAGUUUUGCCCGAGGUAUCAGUAUUUACCAUGGGGUAAAAGCACAUUGAAAAAGAAUCAUAAAUUAUUAAAAAAAGCACUAACAACCGAAAAGUAUCCUUAAAAUCAAAGUCUUCAUGUGGUUUGUGCACAAGAAGGUGAUUCUCACUAAGAGUAAUCUGGCUAAACGCAAUUGAGGGAGGGGGGAUACACGAUGUAGCUUCUGUGAUAAUGAGGAAAACAUUAAACAUCUUUUUCUCCAAUGUCCACUUGCGAUAAUUCUAUGACAGACAGUUCGUAUAGCCUUUAACAUUAUGCCUUCAGAUAGCAAGACACGUUGUUUGGAACGUGCCUCAAACGCAUUUGUAUAGGAGUAUGUGCACUUCUUUAGAGUAUAUGGAACACAUAUAAAUUGUUUGCAGGUAUUACACAGAGCAUCGGCGUUGAUCCGUACAUGAUUAUUACUCACUCCUACAGAAACCAAGGAAUUGUGAUGCACCUUUUUGCGGAAACCGGAGACCCAUCACAUAUCUGUACAUGAUCAUCACUCACUUAUGGUUCUAGAUAUGUGAUGCACCUUCUUGUUCAAGAGGAUGGUACUAUAAAGCAGAGGCAGACAACUAACACGGUCAUUACCACAGGGGGGAUACAGUUUGACAAUUCGACAAUGGUCAGGCUCAACCAAAUAAUCCAAGAGAGCUGAAGCUUUGAAGUGGUAUUGAAGCGAACAAUAUGUCAUCUGUAAAUCAGAUACUCGGACAUGGGUACAAAAGCAUCCAACGACUAUAUGCAGGAAUAACAAACAAAAACAGAGACCACCCCACUCCGCCAGUCGAUGGACGAACCUAGAAUUCAUACAUGUGCAUGAUUAGUUCGAGUACAAUGCACCUAGAAUACACACGUGUGCGUGACUUGUUCCAGUACAUACACGGUAAUAUAGAUUGAUACAUUCAUGAUAACACUUUUGCUUCGGUACAACCCCCUCCCCACAAAACGUAUAAAGGAGAAUGUAUAUCCACCUCGUAUUGUACAUUAUAGGCCGCCGUACGUAUAUCCACCUCAUAUAGUAUACGUAUGACGGCCUAUACUGUAUAAUACAAGGUGGGUAUACAUUCUCCUUUAUACGUUUUGUGGGGGAGGGGGUUGUACCGGAGCACACCUCUCAUGAUAAAUCUCCAGAGUAUAUCAAAUUACAUGUCUAGAGCAAGCCAACAAGCAAUGCUGGUUCUAGUACAACACAAAAAACAGCAUACCAAUCUCAAUCGAUGGCAUGCACCUUGAAUACAUACAUAUCCUGACUAGGUCUAGUACAAUACUCGAACAUCCAUUGGUACAUUCAUGAAAAAUCUCCAAAGCGUUUAUUAAAGUACAUGAGAGCAAACAAAGAGCCAGUGCUGGUGAUCUCAUCUCAGCUUCUACCCAUUAAUUCUACCUCUAAAGGAAGCCCAGGUAACAGCCACUUGCACAUAAACAUGGUCAUACAAAUUGUCGCACAGCGAGUACCAAGCAGCUCUCCAUCUCCUCUUGAACAAGAAGGUGCAAAAGACCACCCACAGACCCAUCACAUAUCCAGACCCGGUGGCGAGGGAAAACGAAACCAUGUCGCUCAUUGCAUCCCCCUUGCGCUCUCUGGUAGUUGGAACUUGCUCGGGAUGUGAACAAUUCCAUGAGAGAGGAGAACCGCAAAGGCCCGGGUUGCCGAUAUAAAUAGAUGCAGGGUCCUCAAGUGUUUGCAGUUGAUUUCCUGUCGGUAUCUUUCCUCUCAGAUUGUUGUAGGACAGGUUCAAGCGACUCAGUGAUGUGAGAGUCGAUAAGCUUGAAGGGAUUUCACCGGACAAAUCAUUGUGCGAUAGGUCAAGUGACUCCACCUGCAUUAAGGCGCCGAUAUUCUCAGGGAUUUUUCCAUUGAAUUUGUUCCAUGAUAAGUUUAGGCUCUUCAAUGCUACAAGAGCGCUGAUUUCUUCGGGAAUCUCUCCCAUAAGACUAUUACAAGAAAAAU